AUUCCUACGGGAGGCAGCAGUGGGGAAUUUUCCGCAAUGGGCGAAAGCCUGACGGAGCAACGCCGCGUGAGGGAGGAAGGUCUUUGGAUUGUAAACCUCUUUUCUCAAGGAAGAAGUUCUGACGGUACUUGAGGAAUCAGCCUCGGCUAACUCCGUGCCAGCAGCCGCGGUAAUAAU
rnacentral:rRNA from 1 species